AUACGGAGGGUCCGAGCGUUAAUCGGAAUUACUGGGCGUAAAGCGCGCGUAGGCGGAUAUUUAAGUCAGAUGUGAAAUCCCUGGGCUCAACCUAGGAACUGCAUUUGAAACUGGAUAUCUAGAGUAUGGUAGAGGUGAGUGGAAUUUCAGGUGUUGCGGUGAAAUGCGUAGAGAUCUGAAGGAACAACAGUGGCGAAGGCGACACACUGGGCCAUUACUGACGCUGAGGUGCGAAAGCGUGGGUAGCAAACAGGAUUAGAAACCCCAGUAGUCC
rnacentral:rRNA from 1 species